rnacentral:rRNA from 1 species
UACGGGGGGGGCAAGCGUUGUUCGGAAUUACUGGGCGUAAAGGGUUUGUAGGUGGCUUGCUAAGUCAGACGUGAAAUCCCUCGGCUUAACCGGGGAACUGCGUCUGAUACUGGAUGGCUUGAGUUCGGGAGAGGGAUGCGGAAUUCCAGGUGUAGCGGUGAAAUGCGUAGAUAUCUGGAGGAACACCGGUGGCGAAGGCGGCAUCCUGGACCGACACUGACACUGAGGAGCGAAAGCCAGGGGAGCAAACGGG